rnacentral:lncRNA from 1 species
UGCACUACUCCAGAAUGAAGUUCUUAGGUGGAAGAACCAAACCUUGAGUUUAGAUGGUGACUCGACUAUGAUGAUAUCUGAAGGUGAUGGUGGCAGAAGGCGAAGCGGAAGAUGAUCACAACGUGGGCGGUCCAAGUCCUGGACCAGGGACUCGAGCAAGAUCAAGUGCUACUGGUGUAACGAGUUGGGCAUCAUGUCAGAGAUUACCUGUAGCUUAG